GCGUGGUGUCGUUGUGGCGAACUUGACACAUUUACAACAACUCUGGAAACGGCGUCAGUGACAGUUGGUCUUUCCGUUACACAGCGCAAACGCUGCUGGGAAAACCUUCAAGAAGAAGUGAAGAAGUUGAAGCACAGGCCCAGCUGCUCCAGGUCCUCUCUGGGACUGCACAGCUCUCCUCUGCCAUGGAGUAAUUUUUCAAAAAGUUUUUGCCACAACACGUCUACUGUCAACCCCUCUCCUUCUCUUUGGCAUCUUCUGAAGGAGUGUCUCACCUUGCCAGAGUUGGACAAUCACGAUGAUGAGCACUGACGCCCGGCAGCAGAGGUUCAGCUCAUGACUGCAAACCAUGAAGCAGCCAGGGAAGUGACCUCGGUGGACACUACAGGCUGAGGGUGCCACAUACUGGCACCAUGGCAUCCAAGGAGAGACUGUAUGAAGUCUGGAUGCUCUACUACACUAAGAGGGAUCCAGACUACUUGAAGUUAUGGCUGGAGAUUUUCAUCAGCUCCUAUGAGCGAUGCCUGGAUGUGGACUUUGAAAAGCCACCUUCAAGGUAACUUGUAGCAAACUGUG